rnacentral:rRNA from 1 species
GGUUGGCUCAGAAGCAGCCAUCCUUUAAAGAGUGCGUAACAGCUCACUAGUCGAAUGACUCUGCGCCGAUAAUUUACCGGGGCUAAGCAUACUACCGAAGCUAUGGAUCCCAAGGGAUGGUAGGGGAGCGUUCCAUGAACGGAGAAGUACGACCGAAAGGACGUGUGGAGAUCAUGGAAGAGAGAAUGCCGGUGUGAGUAGCGGAACGUGGGUGAGAAUCCCACGCACCGAAAACCCAAGGUUUCCAGAGGAAGGUUCGUCCGCUCUGGGUAAGUCGGGACCUAAGGCGAGGCCGAAAGGCGUAGUCGAUGGACAACAGGUAGAGAUUCCUGUACCCGUAUAUAUGUGAAGGAAUGACGGAGAGAGGAAGCUGCAGCCAGCGGCUGGAAGAGCUGGUGCAAGCGAGAUAUCGGGAUGGCAGGCAAAUCCACCAUCCGAAACGAGAAGGCGUGAAGCGUACGGAAAGCUACGGCGAGUACGGAAGGCAGUGGAGGAACUUCCAAGAAAAGUUUCUAACGUUAAGUAUAUAUGGCCCGUACCGAAAAUGGACACACAUGGGUGAGGAGAGAAUCCUAAGGUGAGCGAGAGAACUAUAGCUAAGGAACUCUGCAAAAUGACUCCGUAACUUAGGGAUAAGGAGUGCUCAUAGAGAUAUGAGCCGCAGUGAAACGGCCCAAGCGACUGUUUACCAAAAACACAGCUCUAUGCUAAGUCGAAAGACGACGUAUAUGGGGUGACGCCUGCCCGGUGCUGGAAGGUUAAGAGGAUGUGUCAGCGCAAGCGAAGCAUUGAAUUGAAGCCCCAGUAAACGGCGGCCGUAACUAUAACGGUCCUAAGGUAGCGAAAUUCCUUGUCAGGUAAGUUCUGACCCGCACGAAAGGCGUAACGAUUUGGGCGCUGUCUCAGCUGUAGACUCGGUGAAGUCUUAGUACCUGUGAAGAUGCAGGUUACCCGCGACUAGACGGAAAGACCCCAUGGAGCUUCACUGCAGGUUGAUAUUGGGAUUUGAUGCAGCAUGUACAGGAUAGGUAGGAGGCAAAGAGAUGGAUACGCCAGUAUUCAAGGAGCCGCUGUUGGGAUACUACCCCUGUUGUAUUGGAUUUCUAACCGGACGACGUAGAGCCGUUGACGGGACAGUGUCAGUCGGGCAGUUUGACUGGGGCGGUCGCCUCCCAAAGAGUAACGGAGGCGCCCAAAGAUACCCUCAGCUUGGAUGGAAAUCAAGCGCAGAGUGCAAAGGCAUAAGGGUGUUUGACUGCGAGACCUACAAGUCGAGCAGGGACGAAAGUCGGGCUUAGUGAUCCGGCGGUGCUGAAUGGAAAGGCCGUCGCUCAACGGAUAAAAGCUACCCUGGGGAUAACAGGCUGAUCUCCCCCAAGAGUUCACAUCGACGGGGAGGUUUGGCACCUCGAUGUCGGCUCAUCGCAUCCUGGAGCUGAAGUCGGUUCCAAGGGUUGGGCUGUUCGCCCAUUAAAGCGGUACGCGAGCUGGGUUCAGAACGUCGUGAGACAGUUCGGUCCCUAUCUGUCGUGGGCGUAGGAAGUUUGAGAAGAUCUGUCCUCAGUACGAGAGGACCGGGAUGGACAUAUCAAUGGUGCACCAGUUGUCACGCCAGUGGCACAGCUGGGUAGCUAAAUAUGGAAGGGAUAAACGCUGAAGGCAUCUAAGUGUGAAACCCACUUCAAGAUGAGACUUCCCAUUACGCAAGUAAGUAAGACCCCUUAAAGACGAUAAGGUUGA